UACAGAGGGGGCGAGCGUUGUUCGGAAUUACUGGGCGUAAAGGGCGCGUAGGCGGCCUGCUAUGUCGAACGUGAAAUCCCCGGGCUCAACCCGGGAACUGCGUCCGAAACUGGCAGGCUUGAAUCCGGGAGAGGGAUGUGGAAUUCCAGGUGUAGCGGUGAAAUGCGUAGAUAUCUGGAGGAACACCGGUGGCGAAGGCGGCAUCCUGGACCGGUAUUGACGCUGAGGCGCGAAAGCUAGGGGAGCAAACGGG
rnacentral:rRNA from 1 species